rnacentral:sRNA from 1 species
AUAUCUCUCUGUACGGGAAGGAUGAGAAGCUUCUACCAGGGUUCGAUUCGAGCGCAGCGAGAAAGCGUUGCCGCAGGCAACGACCCGAAGGGCGAAGCGCGCAGCGCUGAGUCAUA